UUGAAAGGGAAACGAUUGAAGUCAGUCAUGCCGGUGAGAAAUCAGCUUACAGGCUACUGUGGGUGCACUUUUUCGCAAGGCAGGUUAACAUCGGUUUUUGUUGCGUCAUAAUGAUUGUAGGAAGGUGGCUCCUUCGGGAGUGUUAUAGCCUACUUUAGAUGGCGCGACGAGGACUGAGGAUUGCAGCGAAUGCUUUUGGCUACGGAUCUUUUCUCUGUCAAUCUUCAAUUGAUCGUCAGCUUGCUGACGAGCGGUUGAUAGGUUUUCAAUAGGAUGGAAUUCGAUAAAUUCGUUAAGGAUGUUGACGUA
rnacentral:rRNA from 1 species